rnacentral:rRNA from 1 species
GGUUAGUCCGCAACGAGCGCAACCCUUGUCAUUAGUUGCCAUCAUUUAGUUGGGCACUCUAAUGAGACUGCCGGUGACAAACCGGAGGAAGGUGGGGAUGACGUCAAGUCCUCAUGGCCCUUAUGGGUAGGGCUUCACACGUCAUACAAUGGUCGGUACAGAGGGUUGCCAAGCCGCGAGGUGGAGCCAAUCCCAGAAAGCCGAUCGUAGUCCGGAUCGCAGUCUGCAACUCGACUGCGUGAAGUCGGAAUCGCUAGUAAUCGCGGAUCAGCAUGCCGCGGUGAAUACGUUCCCGGGUCUU